GGUAUCGCCGUUAGUCAUGUGCAAAUAUGGAUAGCUGUUUUAGCCGUCUUUAUUGACUGGUUUAUAAGAGUUAUCAGAUAUCACUUUGAUUAAAUUAGAGUGCUUAAAGCAAGUGUGUUACUUGGAUAUAAAUGCAUGGAAUGAUGGAAUAUGUUGUUAUUCUAUUUGUUGGUUUUUGAAUGAUAAAAUGAUUGAAAGGAACUGUUGGGGGCAUUCGUAUUGUUGUGAGAGAGGUGAAAUUCUUAGACCACAGCAAGACGAACUACUGCGAAAGCAUUUGCCAAGAAUGUUUUCAUUGAUCAAGAACGAAAGUUAGAGGUUCGAAGGCGAUCAGAUACCGCCCUAGUUCUAACCAUAAACUAUGCCAACUAGCAAUUUGCUUUGUAUUUUUUAUGACUAAGUGAGAGGCCACGGGAAACCUAAGUAGGGUUAUGGGGGAAGUAUGGUUGCAAAGCUGAAACUUAAAGGAAUUGACGGAAGGGCACCACCAGGAGUGGAGCCUGCGGCUUAAUUUGACUCAACACGGGAAAACUUACCUGGUCCUGACACUAGAAGGAUUGACAGAUUGAUAGCUCUUUCUUGAUUUGGUGGAUGGUGGUGCAUGGCCGUUCUUAGUUGGUGGAGUGAUUUAUCUGGUUAAUUCCGAUAACGAACGAGACUCUAGCCUAUUAAAUAAUACACGGAAUUUUAUCUUCCGCGGUAUUUCUUAGUGGGAUCAAGCG
rnacentral:rRNA from 1 species